rnacentral:rRNA from 1 species
AUUGAACGCUGGCGGCAUGCCUUACACAUGCAAGUCGAACGGUAACAGGUCUUCGGAUGCUGACGAGUGGCGAACGGGUGAGUAAUACAUCGGAACGUGCCUAGUAGUGGGGGAUAACUACUCGAAAGAGUGGCUAAUACCGCAUGAGAUCUACGGAUGAAAGCAGGGGAUCGCAAGACAUUGUGCUACUAGAUGUGCCGAUGGCAGAUUAGGUAGUUGGUGGGAUAAAAGCUUACCAAGCCGACGAUCUGUAGCUGGUGUGAGAGGACGAUCAGCCACACUGGGACUGAGACACGGCCCAGACUCCUACGGGAGGCAGCAGUGGGGAAUUUUGGACAAUGGGCGCAAGCCUGAUCCAGCAAUGCCGCGUGCAGGAUGAAGGCCUUCGGGUUGUAAACUGCUUUUGUACGGAACGAAAAGCCCUGGGUUAAUACCCUGGGGUCAUGACGGUACCGUAAGAAUAAGCACCGGCUAACUACGUGCCAGCAGCCGCGGUAAAAC